AUGGCUGUCGUCAGCUCGUGUCGUGAGAUGUUGGGUUAAGUCCCGCAACGAGCGCAACCCCCGUGUCCUGUUGCCACCCGGAUGAGAAUCCGGAGCACUCUGGACAGACUGCCUGGUUUCAACCAGGAGGAAGGUGGGGAUGACGUCAAGUCAGUAUGGCCCUUACGGCCAGGGCUGCACACGUACUACAAUGCCUAGUACAAUGGGACGCAAGACCGCGAGGUGGAGCAAAUCCCCAAAACUAGGCUCAGUUCAGAUUGUAGGCUGCAACUCGCCUACAUGAAGGAGGAAUCGCUAGUAAUGCCGUAUCAGCUACGACGGCGUGAAUACGUUCCCAGGCCUUGUACACACCGCCCGUCACAUCAUGAAAGUUGAUUGUACCCGAAGUCGCUGAGUUAACCGCAAGGAGACAAGUGCCGAAGGUAUGGUUGGUAAUUGGGAUGAAGUCGUAACAAGGUAGCCGUAGGGGAACCUGUGGCUGGAUCACCUCCUUUCUAAGGAGAUAAACUGUAGCAGCAUAAGCUGUUACGAGGUCGAACCGAGAUUACAUUCUUGGAAGGGCUCAAACUUAUUGUGCAAUUCAGAUUUUAAAGAACACAGUUCUUUUGACAAAAACUAAUAUGUGGUGAUAUAGCCGCACGUAGGUUUUAUUUAUGGGGCUGUAGCUCAGUUGGUAGAGCGCCUGCUUUGCAAGCAGGAUGUCAGGAGUUCGAGUCUCCUCUGCUCCACCAAAUUUUAUAACCGGACGGGCCUGUAGCUCAGUUGGUUAGAGCGCGCCCCUGAUAAGGGCGAGGUCACUGGUUCAAAUCCAGUCAGGCCCACCAUUAACGAUUUUAGCUUACUUUAUGUAAGUUGGUUCUUUGACAACUGUAUGUAGUGAUAUUGCGAUAAAAAAUGCAAUACGCUGAGAAUGAUUUGGAUCAUUUCAAUUUAUUGAAAUAACCAAGUUCUUUUUGUGAUCAAAUUUGAUCUAUUUUGUGAUCAAGCUACUAAGGGCACAUAGGUGAAUGCCUUGGCUCCAGAAGACGAUGAAGGACGUAGUAAGUUGCGAUAAGCCAUGAGAAGCGACAAACACGCGCUGAUCCAUGGAUUUCCGAAUGGGGAAACCCGG
rnacentral:sRNA from 1 species